rnacentral:rRNA from 1 species
AUUGAACGCUGGCGGCGGGCCUAACACAUGCAAGUCGAACGAGUGGCGGACGGGUGGGUAAUGUCUGGGAAACUGCCUGAUGGAGGGGGAUAACUGCUGGAAACGGUAGAUAAUAGCGCAUACCAUCAGAUGGGCCGAGAUGGGAUUAGCUAGUGGGGUGGGUAACGGCUAACCAAGGCGACGAUCCCUAGCUGGUCUGAGAGGAUGACCGGCCACACUGGAACUGAGACACGGCCCAGACUCCUACGGGAGGCAGCAGUGGGGAAUAUUGCACAAUGGGCGCAAGCCUGAUCCAGCCAUGCCGCGUGUAUGAAGAAGGCCUUCGGGUUGUAAAGUACUUUCAGCGGGGAGGCGUUACCCGCAGAAGAAGCACCGGCUAACUCCGUGCCAGCCGCCGCGGUAAUAC